AUAGGUACAUACUUUGACGUAAGACUUUUUACACCUUUUAAACCUGUUAUCUUCCAAAGCCACCAUGAUCCAAACUUCAUAGUUGCUAAUCAUUCCUCCCUGUGUUGGGGAUGAUACGCAGAGAAAUUUCGAGCUUUUAUAAAAUAACGAAGGUCUGGCACGCUCUGACUCUC